rnacentral:lncRNA from 1 species
CAUUUUUCAGUCUCUAGACUUAAAGAUCUUUUGGGGUCUGAACAUGUGUGUGUUGUAGAGAUGACUUUUUGUGACCAGCAGUUAGUUUAGAAUGGUUUUAGAUCUGAAAAUUAAAUCUCCUAUUGGCAUUGUUCAGUGACUGGGGAACAAAAAUCCUGUGGCAAAGAACAUCUUCUAAGCUCAGCCUAAGGCACAAAAUGGCACAACUUUCUUUCAGGACUUUUUUUCUUUUUUACUUUUUUACACCUUCUCUGCCCUCCAAAUCCCCUGAAGCCCCCUCUAACCCAGGGAUCCGCCUCACUCCAACUCCCACCCACUCCCCCUACCCUCCAUCACACCUGGGGCAAGUUAUCUAAGUGAUAUUGCCAAUGACACUUCACAAAAAUGCCCUGCUCACUAAUUUCAUUUAAGGGAGAUGCCUGGAAUCUGACUUCAUUGGCACGUGCCACUCCGGGAUCUCCCAGUUUUUGUUUCAAGGUCUGCAAGUUGAUGCUGAUUUUUAACCACUCCAUGUCAAUUGUUUUAGUUUGUGGGCAUCACCUAUGCCCUGACUGUUGUAUGGCUCCUGGUGUUUGCCUGCUCUGCUGUGCCUGUGUACAUUUACUUCAAUACCUGGACCACCUGCCAGUCUAUUGCCUUCCCUAGCAAGACCUCUGCCAGUAUAGGCAGUCUCUGCGCUGAUGCCAGAAUGUAUGGUGUUCUCCCAUGGAAUGCUUUUCCUGGCAAGGUUUGUGGCUCCAACCUUCUGUCCAUCUGCAAAACAGCCGAGUUCCAAAUGACCUUCCACCUGUUUAUUGCUGCAUUUGUGGGUGCUGCAGCCACACUAGUUUCCCUGCUCACCUUCAUGAUUGCUGCCACUUACAACUUUGCCGUCCUUAAACUCAUGGGCCGAGGCACCAAGUUCUGAUCUCCCAUAGAAAUCCCCCUUUGUCUAAUAGCGAGGCUCUAACCACACAGCCUAUAGUGUUGUGUCUCCUGUCUUAACUCUGCCUUUGCCACUGAUUGGCCCUCUUCUUACUUGAUGAGUAUAACAAGAAAGGAGAGUAUUGCAGUGAUUAAUCUCUCUCUGUGGACUCUCCCUCU